UGAAUACGAGACGCUAAGGCGUCGAAGUAGUGUAUGUCAUACUUCCAAGAAAAGCUUGCACUGUCAUAGAUAAAAAACGCCUGUACCAUAACCGACACAGGUGGGUAGGUAGAGUAUACUAAGGGGCGCGAGAUAACUCUCUCUAAGGAACUCGGCAAAAUAACUCCGUAACUUCGGGAGAAGGAGUGCCUUAUUCGUAAGGUUGCAAUAACAAGAUCCAAGCAACUGUUUAUCAAAAACACAGGUCUCCGCUAAGUCGUAAGACGAUGUAUGGGGGCUGACGCCUGCCCAGUGCCAGAAGGUUAAAGAAGUUGGUUAGCAAUUGCGAAGCUGAUAACUGAAGCCCUGGUGAACGGCGGCCGUAACGAUAACGGUCCUAAGGUAGCGAAAUUCCUUGUCGGGUAAGUUCCGACCCGCACGAAAGGCGUAAUGAUUUGGAUACUGUCUCGGAGAGGGGCUCGGUGAAAUAGACUUGUCUGUGAAGAUGCGGACUACCUGCACCAGGACAGAAAGACCCUAUGAAGCUUUACUGUAACUUGAAAUUGAAAUUGGACUUUAUUCGCGCAGUAUAGGUGGGAGGCGUUGAUUAUAAUCUUGUGGGAUUAUUGGAGCCAUCAGUGAGAUACCACUCUUGUAAUGUUAGAUUUCUAACUUUGAAUCAUUAUCUGGUCAAAGAACAGUUUCAGGCGGGCAGUUUGACUGGGGCGGUCGCCUCCUAAACGGUAACGGAGGCGUACAAAGGUUUCCUCUGAACGGUUAGAAAUCGUAUCUAGAGUGUAAAGGCAUAAGGAAGCUUGACUGUGAGACCUACAAGUCGAGCAGGGACGAAAGUCGGUCUUAGUGAUCUGACGGUACUGAGUGGAAAGGCCGUCACUCAACGGAUAAAAGUUACUCUAAGGAUAACAGGCUGAUCUCCCCCAAGAGUUCACAUCGACGGGGAGGUUUGGCACCUCGAUGUCGGCUCAUCGCAUCCUGGGGCGGUAGUACGUCCCAAGGGUUGGGCUGUUCGCCCAUGAAAGCGGUACGCGAGCUGGGUUCAGAACGUCGUGAGACAGUUCGGUCCAUAUCCGGUGUAGGCGUUAGAAUAUUGAGAGGAGCCUUCUUUAGUACGAGAGGACCGAGAAGGACAUACCUCUGGUGUACCAGUUAUCGUGCCAACGGUAAACGCUGGGUAGCUAUGUAUGGAGUGGAUAACCGCUGAAAGCAUCUAAGUGGGAAGCCCACCUCAAGAUAAGUA
rnacentral:rRNA from 1 species